AUAUAGUCAGUGUUCUUUCUACGGUCACUGAACACUCUGGACAUCAUCAUGAUUCAGAGCUGGAUUAUCCUCUUCCUAUUGGCAGCAUCCACAGCAGUCCACUCACAGGUCCAGCUGCAGCAAUCUGGGGCUGAGCUGGAGAAGCCUGGGUCCUCAGUGAAAUUGUCUUGCAAAGCUUCUGGCUACAAAUUCACUGACUACUAUAUGCACUGGGUGAAGCAAAGGCCUGGACAGGAACUGGAGUGGAUUGGAUGGAUUGGUUCUACAGGUGACACUAGAUAUGCUCAGAAGUUUCAAGGCAAGGCCACAUUGACUGUAGACAAAUCAUCCACCACAACCUACAUGCAAGUCAACAGCCUGACAUUUGAAGACUCUGCAGUCUACUACUGUGCCAGACAAGGACACAGUGUUACAACCACAUCCUGUAUGUGUCAGAAACUCUCAUAGAGCAGGAAGUUGCCC